rnacentral:rRNA from 1 species
CGCUGGCGGCGUGCUUAACACAUGCAAGUCGAACGGGGAUAGCGUUGGAAGGCUUCGGCCGGAAGAUGCUAUUCGAGUGGCGGACGGGUGAGUAACGCGUGAACAAUCUGUCCCAGACAGGGGGAUAACACUUGGAAACAGGUGCUAAUACCGCAUGAGACCACGGUAUCGCAUGGUACAGGGGUAAAAGGAGUAAUCCGGUUUGGGGUGAGUUCGCGUCCGAUUAGCCAGUUGGCGGGGUAACGGCCCACCAAAGCGACGAUCGGUAGCCGAUCUGAGAGGAUGACCGGCCACAUUGGAACUGAGAGACGGUCCAAACUCCUACGGGAGGCAGCAGUGGGGAAUAUUGGGCAAUGGGCGAAAAAGCCUGACCCAGCAACGCCGCGUGAGUGAAGAAGGCCUUCGGGUUGUAAAGCUCUGUUAUAGGGGACGAAGGAAGUGACGGUACCCUAUAAGGAAGCCCCGGCUAACUACGUGCCAGCCGCCGC